CCCCUCGGGGUGCGCCUCCCGGGCGGCGGAGAGGGGCGUCUGAGGGCCUCGCGCUGGUUUCUGCCCCGAGGUUCCCGCGAGACCCCGCUCUCGGCCGGGACGGAGUCUCCUGCGCCGAGUUGAACUUCUGGACUUAAUCCGGCGAUGGCGUUUUCGCCCUCAGUAGCCCGAGUCUUCCGAGGCCCUGACAUAUCCCCGAAGAGCGGCCACCGGGUGAGAGGCUCGGGCCGUGUGCCCCGCGGCGAGCGCGCUUCCCGUGGUGCAGGUACGCGCGUCUAGGAGACGUUUAGGGAACCGAACAGCUAUGAUCCAUGGCCACUUGGUUUCUGUACUUACCUGCCUUAUACACGAGGCUUCCUGUGGAAUCCUAGAAUACCAGGGACAGUACCCAAGAACAAAAAGGGACAAGAUCACUGUCUGACUGGGGAUAACUUGUCCCAUUGAAGCUUGGUUGAAACAAGGUCCCACAAGCUGGCCCUAGCCCGCAGAGCUGCUCCCAGGCCCCAGAGAAGACCCUGGGAUGCCUUUCUGCCUUUGCCUUGAUUCAGCAGGUCCAAGCUGGUGGUGUUUCUGCUGGCAGGAAAUCUUCUAGAACACUGCAGUGAACACAUGAAUGAAUUGAAUCAAAAUAAAAGGAUAUUAAACUUGGUAAAUGAGAAGAGCAAGGACAGUCUCCCAUCUCCUGUCCUCUUCAAUCUACCAAUGAAGUGUCCCUUGAAGGGUUUUCUGCCACUGAAGUCUUAAUGCCAAGAUACCAGCAGAGGGCACUGCCUACAAGCUCAUGGAGCAUGCUUAGACCAGCAGGGAGUUAACACCUGGCCAGGAUGUAUGGCAUGGGGGUUACAGGCCUUGGCCUUUCCCCUGGUUAUCAACCUGCUGUGGACCUAUGAAAAACCCAGCACCAUUCCACUGCACCCCAGAAUCCACCCAGCUCUGCCCUGAAGGACCUAUACAGAGCUGCAAAACAAUGCCAGUUUGGGCUGGGAACAGUUUGCUCUGGGACAGAGAAAAAUUAUUCAGGACCCAUGGGAUUAAGUGAAAAUGCCAGAAACGUGUUGGAAGAAUGGGGAAGAGCAUCCAUAAGAAUUAUUUCUGUAACUCUCUGCCCAACUGGUCAUAUUUUGGGACAGUCCCCAAUUUUCUCCCUCAGUCCUUGGCCUGCAGCAUGGAUCCAUGAUCCGAACCCAUCUGAAAAGAUGUAUAGGAGCCUGAUGCAGCCAACACCCCCCCCCCCCACCAUCCUCACCCACAUCCCAGCCCCAGAAAAGAAAAGGCUAGAGGCCUGCAGGACCUCCAUCUGUGGUUUUCAGUGCCCAGAGCCUAUCUCUGACUACGGGGACUCAACACUGGGGGGUUCCAGGGUGUUUAAUAUCAAGUUUGGCUUUAGA